UUUCCGUAGGUGAACCUGCGGAGGGAUCAUUACAGAGUUCAUGCCCUACCGGGUAGAUCUCCCACCCUAUGUUAUUAUUACUUUGUUGCUUCGGCGGGCCGUUAGGCUCCGGCCCGACUACCGGCCCCGGCUGGUAAGCGCCCGCCAGAGGACCCAAAACCCUGAAUAUUAGUGUCGUCUGAGUACUAUAUAAUAGUUAAAACUUUCAACAACGGAUCUCUUGGUUCUG
rnacentral:misc_RNA from 1 species